UGCUAGGUUGUUGCUAAGGUGUUGCUAUGGUAUCUGGGGUGGUUGCUAAGAUGUUGCUACGUGGUUGCUAGGGUGUUGCUAUGGUAUCCGGGGUGGUUGCUAAGGUGUCGCUAGGUGGUUGCUAGGGUGUUGCUAGGUGGUUGCUAAGGUGUUGCUAUGGUAUCUGGGGUGGUUGCUAAGAUGUUGCUAGGUGGUUGCUAAGGUGUUGCUAUGGUAUCUGGGGUGGUUGCUAAGGUGUUUCUAGGUGGUUGCUAGGUGGUUGCUAAGGUGUUGCUAUGGUAUCUGGGGUGGUUGCUACGGUGUUGCUAGGUGGUUGCUAAGGUGUUGCUAUGGUAUCCGGGGUGGUUGCUAAGGUGUUGCUAGGUGGUUGCUAGGUGGUUGCUAAGGUGUUGCUAUGGUAUCUGGGGUGGUUGCUAAGGUGUUGCUAGGUGGUUGCUAGGUGGUUGCUAAGGUGUUGCUAUGGUAUCUGGGGUGGUUGCUAAGGUGUUGCUAGGUGGUUGUUAGGCAGUUGCUAUCAUUUCUAAAGUGGUUGCUAAGUGGUUGCUAGGCAGUUGCUAACGUUUUCCUAAUGGUUGCUAAGGUGUUGGUAAGUGGUUGCUAGGCUGUUGCUAUCAUUUCUAAA